UGCCAUUUAAAUGCAAAGCGUAUGGCAACCUAGCAACUGUUUGUCGACAGCUGAUUGCAAAUUUAAUCAGUCCAUUAUGAGCAAGAAAUUUGAGUGGUCCGAAUUUAGACCAGCACCUUGUUACAAUCAAGUCGUACCUUGUUGAAAUGGCGUCAAUGGCAGUAUAAACGCUGGGGAUCUAAGUGGACGCCGUUGACUAAGGUGUUUAAUGCGCGUCCUGCCAGGCGGAUAAAUUUUACUCGCAACGAUGUGUCGGCAGUUGGUACAGCUACUCGAGUUCGAACGGAUAGCGCAUUCACAAUACAAGGCUCGCAGGCUGCAUCAGCUUUCGUAGCGUGGUAAAAAGCCUCAACACGAACCAUGUCCUUUAUAGAGAGCUAGCGAUUGUGUUCCUUUUGCACGAAAAGGAGCGGUCACGGAUUGAGCGUCUCAAUGUGGACAUUCUUUAGCCAUGUUGGAAGUUUAUUAAUGGGCCUUGAUCUGCAUCCGUCCGAGAAGAAGUGCUAUGCUGUUGAAAGCCCGGCUCGGCAGCUGCGCAUUAGCCACUUUGUGGGAUACGGAGCUGAGUAUUACGCCUGCCUCGUUUCGGUGACAAUCGCGUCAUCGUACUGCCAGAAGUAUUUAAUAGCAACGCCUUCAAAGUAAACAAAUCGAAAUGAUGCGUACCUUAUUGGCCGACACAUUAAUUUUGAUAGUGACCAAAAUGAGGCAAAAAUCAAGAAGCUGAUAAUCAGUUGUCUUCAUCUCCUCAGAUAUUUUAAAUUGUAUAAUAUGUUGUAGGUAUGGUUUACUAAAAUGUGCACUGUCAAAGUUGAAACACCUUUUUAUUAAAUAAAGAUUAUACGUUUUAAUUAGUUAAAAAUUAUUUAAUAGAUUAAAAAUUGCGAUAGGUACUCUGUAGGAUAUGUAUAAGUUAUUUUUGUACCGACCUUUAUAUUAUUAUUUCUUAAUUUCACUCGGGCCCGUUUGGGCAAAGAUCCGUUAAGUAAUAAAUUGAUUUGUUAAACCUGUUAAGGUAAAGGA